UACGUAGGGAGCGAGCGUUGUCCGGAUUUAUUGGGCGUAAAGAGCGCGUAGGCGGCUCGGUAAGCCGGAUGUGAAACCUCCAAGCUCAACUUGGAGCGGCCAUUCGGAACUGCUGUGGCUAGAGUCUGGUAGGGGAACACGGAAUUCCUGGUGUAGCGGUGAAAUGCUUAGAUAUCAGGAGGAACACCAGUGGCGAAGGCGGUGUUCUGGGCCAGUACUGACGCUGAGGCGCGAAAGCGUGGGGAGCGAACGAGGAUUGAUAAACCCGGUGUAG
rnacentral:rRNA from 1 species